UUCUAGGGAUGCUUCCAGUGAGACUCCGUGCUCCCUCCCUGUGUGGUUCCCAUGGCCUUUCUUUACCUCAAGAAAAUGCAGAGUGAAAAGCAAUGGUAGCAGAAGUUUCUAGAAGUUACUUAUAUGGCAAGUGCAAGUAUUUCAGAACACAUUUGAGAUUCAGGAAGGAGGCAAAAAGGCUUCUGCUGAGCAGUCAAAAUGACGAAGUUUGUAAACUUCACUUUAUUUGGGUCCCUGCUGAAAGUCUACCUACUCUUUAAAAACAAUAACAACAACAAAAAAUGGGAACACACUAUUAACGCUGUUCUGCACAUGUAUUUUUCAAUUAACAAUUGAGGUCUCAUCAAAUAACCAAGAAAGAUAAACCACCAGAAGAGAUGAGACUGGGAAUCAUCACCACACCCAGACAGACUUCAUCUAUUCUUCUGAGAGCAGCUCCAAGAGAUUGCCUGGAGGACUUUAUCUGCUUAAUAAGACAAGCUUUGUUCCUGUACAGCUCCGCCCCUCACCUUCCUGUAAUAUCUGCCUCCCACCUCCCCAGUCCAUACAUCUCCUCCCUCCUGUAUGAAAAAGGGUAUACAAGCUUCUGUGCCCCAUUGGGUUAUUGGGAAAUCAUUCUCCUGUGAUUCCCCUGUGCCAUGCACACUAAAAUAAAAUUUUGUAUGCCUUUUCUCCUAUCGAUCUGCCUUUGG
rnacentral:lncRNA from 10 species